rnacentral:rRNA from 1 species
UAGGGAAUAUUGGACAAUGGGUGAGAGCCUGAUCCAGCCAUGCCGCGUGCAGGAAGAAGGCGUUAUGCGUUGUAAACUGCUUUUUGCCAGGGGAUAAAAAGACCGUGCGCGGUUAAUUGAAGGUACCUGGUGAAUAAGCCACGGCUAACUACGUGCCAGCAGCCGCGGUAAUACGUAGGUGGCAAGCGUUGUCCGGAUUUAUUGGGUUUAAAGGGUGCGUAGGUGGCCCUGUAAGUCAGUGGUGAAAUAUCUCAGCUUAACUGAGAGGGUGCCAUUGAUACUGCAGGGCUUGAGUACAGAUGAGGUAGACGGAAUUGACGGUGUAGCGGUGAAAUGCAUAGAUAUCGUCAAGAACACCGAUAGCGAAGGCAGCUUACCAAGCUGUAACUGACACUGAGGCACGAAAGUGUGGGGAUCAAACAGGAUUAGAUACCCUUGUAGUCCCUGAGCGGGCUGGCAAGGCGCAU